GAUGAACGCUGGCGACGUGCCUAGUACAUGCAAGUCGAGCGAACGGACGAGAAGCUUGCUUCUCUGAUGUUAGCGGCGGACGGGUGAGUAACACGUGGAUAACCUACCUAUAAGACUGGGAUAACUUCGGGAAACCGGAGCUAAUACCGGAUAAUAUUUUGAACCGCAUGGUUCAAAAGUGAAAGACGGUCUUGCUGUCACUUAUAGAUGGAUCCGCGCUGCAUUAGCUAGUUGGUAAGGUAACGGCUUACCAAGGCAACGAUGCAUAGCCGACCUGAGAGGGUGAUCGGCCACACUGGAACUGAGACACGGUCCAGACUCCUACGGGAGGCAGCAGUAGGGAAUCUUCCGCAAUGGGCGAAAGCCUGACGGAGCAACGCCGCGUGAGUGAUGAAGGUCUUCGGAUCGUAAAACUCUGUUAUUAGGGAAGAACAUAUGUGUAAGUAACUGUGCACAUCUUGACGGUACCUAAUCAGAAAGCCACGGCUAACUACGUG
rnacentral:rRNA from 1 species